GUGGUAUUCAUUCGGCAAAAAUUGAGGUGUUUGGAUAUGUAACGAAUUGUGGAAUUGAAUUAUCUGAAUAAAAACGUGAAUUUAAAAAUACUUCAAAAAGUCAGGUAUAAAUAUAUGCCCUGAAAAUGUGCUCUAUCGAGUCAUAGCGGAUAAUCUAAAAUUUAAAACAUCCGACAGCCUAUAUAAUAAAUGCAGACGAGUUGCUUUUUGUCAGCGGGCAUGGCUAGAAACAGUACGUUGUUCUGUGUGGUUAAGCUCAGUUUCAAUCGUUGAGAGAGUCAUUUGAAAUCUAUCUUUAAUCUCAGAACGGAGGAAUGCCUUUUUAGAGACUCUAGAUUUCAAACUUUUCCCAGGGCAACAUGUCCCUGGACCCCCUCUAGAACUCUGUAAAAACAAUCAAUUAUAGUCGACAGAUCUGACAGCUUCUAUUGCGAAAGUGAAGACGUUUGCGUAAGCAUGGCCGGAUUUUGAGGGGAGGUACUUGAGAAUUUUUGCAGCUCCCCUGAAAAGUCAUGCACCUCCCUUUGGGGAGAGUUUCAAUGAUAG